rnacentral:rRNA from 1 species
CAGUAGCCGCGGUAAUACGUAGGGUGCAAGCGUUAAUCGGAAUUACUGGGCGUAAAGCGUGCGCAGGCGUUUAUAUAAGACAGAUGUGAAAUCCCCGGGCUCAACCUGGGAACUGCAUUUGUGACUGUAUAGCUAGAGUACGGCAGAGGGGGAUGGAAUUCCGCGUGUAGCAGUGAAAUGCGUAGAUAUGCGGAGGAACACCGAUGGCGAAGGCAAUCCCCUGGGCCUGUACUGACGCUCAUGCACGAAAGCGUGGGGAGCAAACAGGAUUAGAUACCCCUGUAGUCCCUGUCUCUUAUAC